rnacentral:lncRNA from 1 species
UUAGUUUUAGUUUAGUUUAGGUUUAGUUUUAGUUUAGGUUUAGUUAGGUUAGUUUCAUGUUUAGUAAAGGAGAAAAGGAGAAGAAGAAGAAGGAGAAAGGAGAAGAAGAAGAAGGAGAAAGGAGAAGAAGAAGAAGAAGGAGAAAGGAGAAGAAAAAAAUAAGAAGAAGAAGGAAAAGAAGAAGAAGGAAAAGGAAGGGAAGGAGGAGAAAUAAGAAGAAGAACAAGAAGAAAAAUAGGAGAGGAAGAGAAGAAUAAGAGGAAAAAAGAAAAUAAGAAGAAGAAGCAGAAGAAGAAGAAGAGAAGAAGAAAACAAGAAUAAGGAGAUGAAGAAUAAGAGGAAAAAAGAAAAAAGAAAAUAAGAAU